rnacentral:rRNA from 1 species
GGGGGGGGGGGGCGGGGGGGCGGGGGGGGGGGGGGCGGGGGAGGGGGCGGGGGGCUGGCUGCGCGGAUGGUAGCGGCGGAGGGGUGGGGAACGCGGGGAUAACCUACCUAUAAGACGGGGAUAGCUUCGGGAAACCGGAGCUAAGACCGGAUGCUAUUUCGCACCGCAUGGUGCAAAAGUGAACGACGGGCGUGCUGUCACUUAUAGAUGGCUCCGCGCUGGAUUAGCUAGUUGGUAAGGUAACGGCUUACCAAGGCAACGAUGCAUAGCCGACCUGAGAGGGUGAUCGGCCACACUGGAACUGAGACACGGUCCAGACUCCGACGGGAGGCAGCAGUAGGGAAUCUUCCGCAAUGGGCGAAAGCCUGACGGAGCAACGCCGCGUGAGUGAUGAAGGUCUUCGGAUCGUAAAACUCUGUUAUUAGGGAAGAACAUAUGUGUAAGUAACUGUGCACAUCUUGACGGUACCUAAUCAGAAAGCCACGGCUAACUACGUG